GGUUGAUCCUGCCAGUAGCAUAUGCUUGUCUCGAAGAUUAAGCCAUGCAUGUGUACCGAGCGGUACUAGGUAGCGGCCUCAACCUGGGGCUGCUUCCACCUACCAAUCUGCGGACGGCUCAUUAUAAAGGUUAUACCCUUGCCUAGCGGUGAUGCGCAAGCAUUAGAGGGAUAACACAACCAACUGUUGUGAUAAUACCUGUUAGAAGUCUGGGGCGAGACCCGGACAGCGAUCGCCUACAGAGGGGUUUCGGCCCUUUUGGGGGAGUACCAGGCGAUCCUAGCCCUUUCUC
rnacentral:rRNA from 1 species